rnacentral:tRNA from 1 species
ACUCUAUUCUCUAUAGUAAUAGUAUCGAAUCAAGAAUUUCCUAUUUCUAGAUGGCGAUUAGAAUGAAUUACUU